UACGGAGGGUGCAAGCGUUAAUCGGAAUUACUGGGCGUAAAGCGCACGCAGGUGGCUGAGUCAGUCGAUUGUGAAAGCCCUGGGCUUAACCUGGGAAUUGCAGUCGAUACUACUCAGCUAGAGUAUGGGAGAGGGUAGUGGAAUUCCCGGUGUAGUGGUGAAAUGCGUAGAUAUCGGGAGGAACACCAGUGGCGAAGGCGGCUUCCUGGCCUGUUCUUGACGCUGAGGCGCGAAAGCUAGGGGAGCAAACGGG
rnacentral:rRNA from 1 species